GACGUAGGGGGCAAGCGUUGUCCGGAAUCAUUGGGCGUAAAGAGCGUGUAGGCGGCUUGGUAAGUCCGCUGUGAAAGUCCAGGGCUCAACCCUGGAAAGCCGGUGGAAACUGUCAAGCUUGAGUCCGGAAGAGGCGAGUGGAAUUCCUGGUGUAGCGGUGAAAUGCGCAGAUAUCAGGAGGAACACCAAUGGCGAAGGCAGCUCGCUGGGACGGUACUGACGCUGAGACGCGAAAGCGUGGGGAGCAAACAGG
rnacentral:rRNA from 1 species